GUUCGUACCAAAGCCACUGAACAGCCCGUGGUGCCCACUCACCUACCCUUGGAUAAGAUGGGACCACAGGAUGACCCUGAAGCGUUUCUAGAACUAUUUGAAAAAUCAGCGGAAGCAUGUGGAUGGCCCCAUGAUCAAAGGCCGGUAUGCCUAAUUCCAUUGCUCUCGGGCGAGUCUCAGGUGGCUGCACAGCAGCUUCCGGUACAGAACCUCUUGGUCUUAGAGGGCCAUCAUCCCUACCUAUCCAUAUUUUGCUAUUUUAAAAGAUCAGUUGUAUCGAGUGACACAAGACACACAACCAAAAGAAGAUACAACCCAAGUGGCUCAUUCUAAUCCAAUGGCGGGGCACUUAGGACAGGCAAUGACACUAAAUCGCUUCAUGACCCUUUUUUUUGGCCGGGCAUUCACGAGAAUGUGCGCAGGUGGUGUGCGUCUUGUCCUGAAUGUCAGUUGGUUAACCCUCCGGCUGCCCCAAAAGUGCCUUUGCGCACCCUCCCAUUAAUGCAGGCCCCCUUUGAGAGAAUUGGUAUGGACCUCAUCAGGCCAUUAGAGCGAUCUGCAAGGGAACAUUGUUUUGCAUAAAUCAUAGUGGAUUAUGUAACACGAUAUCCUGAAGCAGUGAUGCGCUGGUUCGUUUAAUCUCCCGUGUGGGGAUUCCGAAAAUAAAUCCUCACGGAUCAAGGCAUGGCAUUUAUGUCACGUACUUUACGCUAACUUUAUGAAUGAUUUGCCAUUAAAUCGAUUCGGACCUGCGUCUAUCACCCACAGACCGACGGCCUGGUCAAACGUUUUAAUCGCAUUCUUAAAUCCAUGAUUCGUAAAUUCGUCCAAGAAGAUGUCAAGAAUUGGGAUAAAUAGUUAGAGCCCCUGUUGUUCGCUGUGCGAGAGGUCCCGCAAGCCUCCACAGGGUUUUCCCCCUUCGAAGCUUCUCUAUGGACUUCAGCCCAGUGGGGUGUUGGACGUCCUAAGAGAAACUUGGGAGGAUGGACCAUCUCAAAGUAAAAGCGAAAUAUAGUAUGUACUGGACUUGAGGACAAAACUUCUCACUUUGGGGCGGCUAUCAAUGGAGAAUUUGUUACAAGCCCAGGACAGACAGAGCCUGCUGUAUAACAGGGGGACUAAGUUAAGCAAAUUUGCACCGGGAGAGAAAGUGCUUGUAUUACUCUAAAUUAUAUCUAAUUUACUUGCAAAGUGGCAGGCAAUACCGGUAUCACCAUAGGGUGGGGGGAUGGGAGAGGGUGUCCUCUUUUCCUCGCUUUUAAAUGGCUUAUAAAUGUGUGUGCAUUAAACAUUCACUUUCGAAUUGGCGUCAAUUGGCAAUCCAGCGUCAAUCGUUUGAAUGAACAAAAAAAAAAAGCAAAAAAAAAAAGUUGAAUGUCAGCAAGCAGCAUUGUAGCUGCGUUCAGUUUUUAAUUAUAGUGUAUGCUUUUGUUUAAACUAUUUAUAAUUAUUAUUUUUACUUAAUUCAAAUAAAUAUUUUAAGAAAAAGCAAAUACUCAAAAAAAAAAAUAUCGCUGCAGGCCUACUGUGUUGAAGUUCGACGGGUAUCCAAUGCCGCGGGUUGAUGAAUUGCUUGAUCGGCUCGGUACGGCUCAUUUUUAUUCAACACUGGACUUAACAAAGGGAUAUUGGCAGAUCCCCAUGUCUACAUUGUCCAGAGAAAAGACAGCCUUCACAACGCUGUUUGGAUUACACAAAUUUGUUACCCUUCCGUUCGGGCUGUUCGUGGCACCGGCCACCUUUCAGCGUCUCAUGGAUAAGAUUCUGCUGCCCCAUGCUGCAUAUGCAGCUGCAUAUUUAGAUGAUAUCAUAAUAUAUAGUAAUGAUUGGUAGCGGCAUAUGUAGCAUCUGAGGGCUGUCUUGAGAUUGCUGAAGGGGGCCGGACUCACGGCCAACCCAAAGAAGUGUGCAAUUAGGCAUGUGGACUUGGGGCAUGGACAGGUGCGUCCCCAAAUUGACAAAACAGCAGCCGUUGCAACCUGUCAAUGUACCAAGACCAAAAAGGAGGUAAGGUAGUUCCUGGGGCUGAAGGGAUAUUACAGAAGGUUUGUACCUAAUUAUUCAGACCUCACCAGCCCCUUGGCGGAUCUUACUAAAAAGGAGGCGCCAGAUACGGUGGACGGAACCGUGUCGGCUGGCUUUUACCCAGGUGAAGGCUGCUGUAUGUGGUGGGCCGUUGUUACACUUUCCUGAUUUUUCUCUCCCUUUUGUGUUGCAGACAGACAUGUUGGACAGGGGGCUGGGUGCAGUCCUGUCGCAGGAGAUAGAGGGGGAGGAACGGCCGGUGCUGUACAUUGUCUCCCCAGCCUGAGUUGGGCAGUGGGGGUAUGUGGCAAGUGGGGCGUGGUUUAGCGAAGUCUGCAGCAGGAGAGAGAGUAAAGUACAGACAAGUUUCAAGUUUUAUUUAAGUCAAUUAAGGGAAGUGGAUCACAUGCAUUGGUAUGUAAUUUCCCUUUUCAGUAACAUAACUAAUAAUAAAUUACCUGUGUAUCAUGCAUACAUAUUGCAGUAUUAUCAUGCUUUCCUUAAGCAUUAUAUAUUAAUAUUGCUUUUCAAGUGGCAGUUCCAUUCAAACAUGGUGAUGGAUGAUGAUUGCAAAUGCUAAUGUAAAGUAGUACAGUAUUUAUCUACACUUUCUUUUUGCAUUAUCAUGGUGCAUAAUGGUAGCUAAUGAAAACAUAUAAAUGUAUUACAUAUAUUAUAUUAAAGAAUUAUAAUUAAUUGAUAUAGACACAAUGUGAGCACUAACUCAAAGCAAAGGUCCAAGUAUAUUUAAGGAUAAAGAAGCUUCAGGAAUGCUUUCAGAGACAUCAAGAAAGCUCCUUGUGAAGAUAGGAGUCAGUACGUUGGUGGAACAAAGCGGAUUUUACCCUUGUAAUGAAGAGAAACGGAUGUUGGCAGAAGGUGUGGUAACUGUUUCCUUCUCUAAAGAUCAAGAUGGGAGAAGAGAAGAGCAUGAAGGAUUUGUAAUUUCCACUUUUCAAAACACACAAAGCUUGGAAUAGUAAGUGUGAUAUGAUAGUUGGUUAACAGGUCAACUGAAAAUGUAGUAAAUUUUUUGUAAAGUAGUUUUAUUUAUUUAUUUUAAAUAGCCAAUAUUACAGUUACAAUUACACCAGAAGUACACCCACUGUGCUGGUUUGCUCGUCACACACCAUGGGUUCUUAUAAAAGGUACAAUUGUAACAUUUCUAUGACCCACUCUCCCACAGUGGAUUUAUUGAGAUGAGACUUUGAAAUCUACGAAGGAAGAACGAAUAACUGCUGAAGGGGAGGAGGAGUCCUAUUGGGAGUGAACGACACAAAGUGUUACUUUCCCCCUCCAGCCGCAAGCUACAGAUUAGGGUGCUCUAAAAUCAAGCCCAUUCAUUUUAAUUCAAAUCAUAAUACUGCUGUUUCCUGGGAAGGCUGACAUCUUUCUUCGAAAAUGGGAAGGAGAUAUUGUUCCAAAGUAGCAAAAGAUGGUCAUGCCAUCUCAUAAUGAGAGUGAAGGUUGUCUUCUUUGCUCGUUAUGGUAUGUAUGUAUGAUCUAUGGACACCGUUAGUUUUAGUAGUUCUCUGAAGGAAAGUUUGGAGUUGAAAGUCAGCCAUUAUAUUCAGUGUUUUUCCCCACUGCGUCAGGAAGAGCAAAGGGUGGGCCAAAUGCAGAACAAAGUCGGCCCCGGCUUAUCUCUCAGACAUUAAGCCGGUAAGCAAAUUGAUUGUACUUUUAUGUUAGCUUUAUUUUUCUUUGUUAGUUUUCUGAACAAGCACUUUGUGAGGUUACAAAAUUACAUGACUCUGAUUUGAAUAAAACUAUAACUAAUUUUUCAACUAAUUUUGGCCAAGUGUCUUAAGGUUAUUUGUGUAUUUUAAUUUUAUUACAAACAGGCCAACAGCGUCCAGUAAAUAAAUAACCAUCCUAACUGAAGGGCAUUAGGACCCAGGAGAGGCUGAUGCUGCUAACGCUAGUGACGGUUUACUCUAUCAUGCUGGAUGCUUCAUUCUGUAUCUACAUUCUCAAAUUAAAUACAGUGAUCCCAAACAGGGAAGAGUUUGCUUCAAGAAUGACAACACUGCUAACGUUAUCAAAUGUACUUUUAUUUUUACAGGCUGGAACCAGCAUCUCCAGCCUCCUGGAUAAUUCCCAGACGAUGGAGGACAGACUUUAACACCACAUUGUCUGUUUAGGAGCCCCAGGUUCUACAGCACAAUACAUCAUUGUAGCAGAGAAUGACAAAGUCACCAUUCCACUGGAGGAUAACAGUCUGACGUGUGCCAUCGACAAGCUGUUUAAAAUCUACUGGGUUAGCAAUGUAGAAUAUCCUGUCCAACUCACAUCUGUCUUUAAUUUCUUUGAAAAUGUGUAUGACAUUCCUUUCUCGUGGGAAGAGAUCUAAAGUUGUGGAGCUUAUUUCAAAGCUUCAAGCACUUUCCUAAGUUGUACCGCCAUGUACAUAUGUCUGAAGUGCACAAAAUCUACUUCAAAAUACAUCCGGUAACAUACAAGUCAUCUUAGGCAUGUCCAUGCACUUUCUGAUGGACAGGAUUAUACACUUGUUUGCAGUCAACCAGCUGUCAAUGAACACACCAUAACUUCAGUUCUCAUGCUGAACAUCUCAAUAGAGAGCAUGCUCCAGCUGAAUCUGACACCAGCAUGAAUGAGGACUUCUGCUGCUGGAGAUAUUCGACAGACUCAUUUUGAUGGCUCCAGUAACUGCAGCACUACUCUGUGAAGCAGCAUUUGUUGCAAAAAUGUGCUCCUCCUCCAUGUGCAAAGAAGCAGCACAUGCACUAAAGAACCUGGACUGUUUUCAAGAGAGAGAACCACAUCUCUGCUUAAUAGUUACUCUAUACCAAUGAUGAAUAGCAGACUUUGAUGGAAGAUACUGAAAGAGAAUGACAUAUGUUUGAGGAAGUUGAUACCCCCUACAAAAUGACCAAGUAUUGCAUCAUUUAUCAAGCCAACAGAAAUGUUCCUUGGAAUUAGAGGUGACACUGCAAGAAACCAAGGUAAAUUAACUCAAGUGUUAACUCAAGCUGAUACAGGUCAAAUCUAUUAUUGAUAGCCUGAAAUUUCUUUUUGACAAUGAACAAAUGAAAAAGCUCUUUGUGGAUUCAACUGAAAGUGAUGGAAAAUUGUCUACUACUACUGUAAUGGCUCACAUUUUAAAAAUCAAAUAUUUCACAGUAGAUUUCCUCAAGCUUUACAAGUUUAACUUUAUUUUGAUGAUUUUGAAACAACAAAUGCUUUAGGCUCUAAAACUAAAGUUCACAGAAUGGGAGCAGUUUAUUUUUGUCUGAGGAAUUUACCUGCUAGACGUAUGCUUUUUAAUUCAUCUGACAAAGAAGUGUAUGGUUUCAACAAAAUAUUUGAGUCAAUAAUGGAUGAUAUUAAAUUUAUUGAGGGAUGUAAGUUCAGAUAAAUGUGAAAAUAAAUGUCCAAAGUACAGUCUUAUUUGGCACAAUAUGCUUAUUUACUGCUGAUGAUCUGGCCUGCCAUUCACCUGGAGGAUAUUUGGAGAGUCUGAUUUCAAGAAGACAUUACAUCUCUCAAGAUCUGGGCCUGUAUUCACUAAACAUCUUCAGGCUAAAAGUAGCUCUUAACUUGCAGAUUUAGGAAAAAAUCUUAAAAAUAAUGGGCGUGUCAGUCCUAGAUUUAGGACUUCUAAAUAUUUGUUCUUAGAGUAUUUCACAAAGUGUUUUAGUGCUAAAAUUAGCUCCUAAAUCUGUGAAACGUUAGGAGUAGUGAAGAGUAGUGAAUUCACUAAGACCAAAUCUCAAAUAUACUAAAAUGGCUGUUUCAAGCAAUCUACCUCAGAAUAUAAACAUUUUAGAAACAUUUUUUUUUCUAAUUGUUUGGGUUUGGAGGUUAUCCCAACACAAAAUAUUUUAUUAUGUCCUUAAUAUAUAGCUGUUCUCAUGUCCAGUUUGGUUUGGACAGAUGGAAGCGCUGCUGUGACCUUUUACUCUUAAAAUACAUUUUUGGUCAUUUAGACAAGAGUUUUGCAUCUUCUGCAUCUGUAAAGACUCUACAUUUAUUCAUGUGCACUCAGAAUAGCAACAAAAUGUUGCGCUUUUUAGGCAGCCCUAAUGCAUCUUGACUAAUGGUUUAAGAGAAGCAUACAUACAGGUAUAAGAGGCUGACAAUUAGCUGAAUAUAUAGCCCACUUGUUUAAUUAGUGAUACUAAGCCUGCAUUUUAAACUCUUUGUUUUAAUGUGGCAAUUAACUUGUUUAUUUUAAACCUUUAUCUGAAUGUAGCAACAUAAUAUUGUGCUCUGCAAUAUUUCAACGAACAAAUCUCUGACAGAGACUAUCAGCCAAUCAGUGUGUGUGGUUAGUAUGAUGACAUCAUCCAUAGCAACGAGCUCAGCCCCGCCCCCUUACUCUUAGCUUAAGACUUCUGUUUAUAAAGGUAAGUCUCAGCAGCUUUGUGAAUCGGUUUUAAGGGAAAACUUUUACUGCUAUUUAGGAGAACUCAGUGGUAAGAUAAAAUGUUUAUCUUUCUAAACUCCUACAUUUUUGCUCUAAGAGUAUUUCAGCCUUUAUUUAAGUGUUUCAGCGCUAAAACAUAUAUGACUUAGUGAUUAUAACAUCUUGAAAUAGCUGUUGCUGGCAAUCUGCCUCGGAGUGUAAACACUUUAGAAACACUUGAUGAUAAUGAGCUUUUAUAAAGGUAUCACCUUUAUCUGAACUCUUUGUUUUGAUUAUAUCCUUGUUUUCAUUCAUUAGUUGUGCAAGAAGUAACAGAUGUUCUUGCAUGCAGUUUUUUUAUAUUUUACUAUCAGCCAUGAUUACUCUGAUAAUUAAAAGGCUGUUUAUAUACACAUCUGCUCAGUGUUUUUGAGAAGCACAUUUGUAAGAGUAAUCACUGUGUGCAUGGUUAGUAAGCAUGAUGACAUCAUCCAUAGCAACGAGGUCAGCCCCGCCCCCUAACUCUUAGAUUAUUUACUAAUUCCUUAGUAAAGUUUGACUCAGCAGCUUUGUCAAAAGGUUUUAAGAGAAAACUCUUAGCUAAAAAGUGUUACAGCUAUUUAGAAGACCUCUUAGUGGUAAGAUACAAUGUUUUGUUAAUAAAGGCCCUGAUCAAACAACUCCUUUUCAACUCCAACUUCCACUUUACUAACCAUACUGAUGCUAUUUCUGUCAGACGGUCACGGAAAUGCAAGGUUUUUUUCACUACCACAAGGGAGAUCAGUGUUUGCUGAUGAUUUACUGCUCAAGAAACAUUUCUGAUUAAUAUCAAUGUUGAACACAGUUAAUAUUUAACAGUUCAAUAUUUGAAAUGGUCCUUUGUGUCAGAGUUAUUUAACUCAAUAUAACUGAUUCAUCAAUCGCACAUCUAGUGUUCUGUUACUGAUGC